AUUGAACGCUGGCGGCAGGCCUAACACAUGCAAGUCGAGCGAGCGGCGGACGGGUGAGUAAUGUAUGGGGACUGCCCGAUAGAGGGGGAUAACUACUGGAAACGGUGGCUAAUACCGCAUACUAUCGGAUAACCCAUAUGGGAUUAGCUAGUAGGUGGGGUAACGGCUCACCUAGGCGACGAUCCCUAGCUGGUCUGAGAGGACGAUCAGCCACACUGGGACUGAGACACGGCCCAGACUCCUACGGAGGCAGCAGUGGGGAAUUUUGGACAAUGGGGGCAAGCCUGAUCCAGCCAUGCCGCGUGUAUGAAGAAGGCCUUCGGGUUGUAAAGUACUUUCGGUAGGGAAGCGUUACCUAAAGAAUAAGCACCGGCUAACUACGUGCCAGCAGCCGCGGUAAUAC
rnacentral:rRNA from 1 species